GGUCGGCAACGACCACCCAGGGCCGGAAAGCUAUCCAAACUCGGUCAUUUAGAGGAAGUAAAAGUCGUAACAAGGUCUCCGUUGGUGAACCAGCGGAGGGAUCAUU
rnacentral:rRNA from 3 species